CCUACGGGAGGCAGCAGUGAGGAAUAUUGGUCAAUGGACGAGAGUCUGAACCAGCCACGUAGCGUGAAGGAUGACUGCCCUCUGGGUUGUAAACUUCUUUUAUAUGGGAAUAAAACGUUCCACGUGUGGGAUUUUGUAUGUACCAUAUGACUAAGGAUCGGCUAACUCCGUACCAGCAGCCGCGGUCAUACGGAGGAUCCGAGCGUUAUCCGGAGUUAUUGGGUGUAAAGGGAGCGUAGGUGGAUUGUUAAGUCAGUUGUGAAAGUUUGCGGCUCAACCGUAAAAUUGCAGUUGACACUGGCAGUCUUGAGUACAGGAGAGGUGGGCGGAAUUCGUGGUGUAGCGGUGAAAUGCUUAGAUAUCACGAAGAACUCCGAUUGCGAAGGCAGUUCACUGGACUGCAACUGACACUGAGGCUCGAAAGUGUGGGUAUCAAACAGGAUUAGAUACCCGAGUAGUC
rnacentral:rRNA from 1 species